UUGUGAGUGUCGGUGCAAGAUUAAACUUAUUUUUCAUACUAUUCAUAAGUCACACAUUUCAGAUAUGAAAUCAAUCAGUGAUGUUUGUAUUAAGGUAUACCCACCUUACAACUUUAGGGUGCAAUUUUUUGGUAAAUGCUUAUUGAAUGCAAAAUGUUUCGUGCAUCGAAUUGUUCUUAUUCUUUUGUGGGUGACUUUCUCUUGCUUCUACUUUUUCAUCUCAUUGGAUAAGCAAAUUCAUGAGAAGUUACGUAAAAUGUUCUACGUGCAUCAGGCAUGCUCAAGGUUCUAUCUAUGCAAGAAAAUUGCGAAGCAACUUCCACGGACUUCCCAUUGGUUUUCACUUCUCGAUAGAUAUGGCAAUUGUAGAGUGAGCUAGGAUAAUUCUUAUUGGCGGCAAGGGAGUUCAGAGACGAAACUACAUUGUUACACACAUCGUUUUCAUAUUAGAAGGGCUAGAUUUGAGAUGCUUCUUCUCCCUCUGCCGCCGCCGGAGCUCCGGCAAAACCCACUGCUCCCUCUUCUCAUAUCUAGCGUCGUUCCAUCACCGUCUCCUCCUCAUCAUCAACAACAAGAGCAAUGACAACGGCAUCGACAGCUUCACCGUCAGAGUAAAGUCACGGUUGUUAUUCGACCAGGAAGCAGCAACAACUUAUGUGACACCGAUGUUGCUACAUAUUCUAUGAGCUUUAACGCUCAGUUGCCUCACGAAGUUUGGCUGAAACCAUAGGAUCAGAGAAGACAUACCACCGUUGACGGCGGAAUGUAUUUUUCAGAUCUGAAUGUACUUCUCAGAUCAGAGUAUUUAUCGUUAUUGUUGCUAUGUAUUUGUUUGAAUACAUAAAAAGAACUGGUUGGAUCCUUACUCGACGACGGCGCCGCUGUCGGCGGUGGAAAAAUCUCAGGUGGUGUAUUUAAGAUCUGAGUGUAUUUUAUUUUUUGUAUCUCAAAUCUGAGUGUAUUUUAUUUCUUGUAUCGCAAAUCUAAGUGUAUUUUUUUUCUUGUAUCUCGGAUCUGAGUGUAUUUCAGUGUAUUCAGUAUUUUUUUAGUGUAAAUAUAGUGUUUCUUUAUG